rnacentral:rRNA from 1 species
ACCUCCAGCAUCCUCAGUAUUGGAGGCACUGCCUGCCCAGUGACAAGCGUUAAACGGCCGCGGUAUCCUGACCGUGCAAAGGUAGCAUAAUCAUUUGUUCUCUAAAUAAGGACUUGUAUGAAUGGCCACACGAGGGUUUUACUGUCUCUUACUUCCAAUCAGUGAAAUUGACCUUCCCGUGAAGAGGCGGGAAUAAACAAAUAAGACGAGAAGACCCUAUGGAGCUUUAACUAAUUAGUCCAGAGAAAAUAAAUUCUAACCACCAAGGGACAGCAAUAUCCUCCAUGGACUAACAGCUUUGGUUGGGGUGACCUCGGAGAAUAAAAAAUCCUCCGAGCGAUUUUAAAGACUAGACCCACAAGUCAAAUCAAAUUAUCGCUUAUUGAUCCAAAAACUUGAUCAACGGAAUAAGUUACCCUAGGGAUAACAGCGCAAUCCUAUUCAAGAGUCCAUAUCGACAAUAGGGUUUACGACCUCGAUGUUGGAUCAGGACACCCCGAUGGUGCAACCGCUAUCAAA